AAUAGAUACCCGGGUAGUCCACGCCGUAAACGAUGGAUGCUAGCUGUUAUGAGUAUCGACCCUUGUAGUAGCGAAGCUAACGCGUUAAGCAUCCCGCCUGUGGGGUACGAGCGCAAGCUUAAAACAUAAAGGAAUUGACGGGGACCCGCACAAGCGGUGGAGCGUGUUGUUUAAUUCGAUGAUAAGCGGAGAACCUUACCAAGGCUUGACAUCCCUGGAAUUUCUCCGAAAGGAGAGAGUGCCUUCGGGAAUCAGGUGACAGGUGAUGCAUGGCCGUCGUCAGCUCGUGUCGUGAGAUGUUUGGUUAAGUCCAUCAACGAGCGCAACCCUUGUAAAUAGUUGAAUUUUUCUAUUUAGACUGCCUCGGUAACGGGGAGGAAGGAGGGGAUGAUGUCAGGUCAGUAUUUCCCUUACGCCUUGGGCUACAAACACGCUACAAUGGCCGGUACAAAGGGCAGCCAACCCGCGAGGGGGAGCAAAUCCCGAUCAAAACCGGUCUCAGUUCGGAUAGCAGGCUGAAAUUCGCCUGCUUGAAGCCGGAAUCGCUAGGUAAC
rnacentral:rRNA from 1 species